rnacentral:tRNA from 1 species
GCCCACGUAGCUCAGCAGGUAGAGCGUCGCCUUGGUAAGGCGGAGGUCUCCGGUUCAAGUCCGGUCGUGGGCUCCA